GACGAACGCUGGCGGCGUGCCUAAUACAUGCAAGUUGAGCGCUGAAGGUUGGUACUUGUACCAACUGGGUGAGCAGCGCACGGGUGAGUAACGCGUGGGGAAUCUGCCUUUGAGCGGGGGACAACAUUUGGAAACGAAUGCUAAUACCGCAUAAAAACUUUAAACACAAGUUUUAAGUUUGAAAGAUGCAAUUGCAUCACUCAAAGAUGAUCCCGCGUUGUAUUAGCUAGUUGGUGAGGUAAAGGCUCACCAAGGCGAUGAUACAUAGCCGACCUGAGAGGGUGGUCGGCCACAUUAGGACUGAGACACGGCCCAAACUCCUACGGGAGGCAGCAGUAGGGAAUCUUCGGCAAUGGACGGAAGUCUGACCGAGCAGCGCCGCGUGAGUGAAGAAGGUGUUCGGAUCGUAAAACUCUGUUGGUAGAGAAGAACGUGGGUGAGAGUGGAAAGCUCAUCAAGUGACGGUAACGACCCAGAAAGGGACGGCUAACUACGU
rnacentral:rRNA from 1 species